rnacentral:misc_RNA from 1 species
GAUGAAGAACGUAGUGAAAUGCGAUAAGUAAUGCGAAUUGCAGAAUUCAGUGAGUCAUCGAAUCUUUGAACGCACAUUGCGCCCUGUGGUAUUCCGCAGGGCAUGCCUGUUCGAGCGUCAUUUCAACCCUCAAGCCUCGCUUGGUGUUGGGCCCUGCCCGCCGCGGCCGGCCCUAAAGAUAGUGGCGGCGCCGCCUGGCCCUCAGCGUAGUACAGCUCUCGCUCCAGGGUCCGGCGGCAGCCUGCCAGAACCCCCCAACUCUGUGGUUGACCUCGGAUCAGGUAGGGAUACCCGCUGAACUUAAGCAUAUCAAAAGCGGAGGA